AGCCACAGCUGCAGCUGUGGGAAGAGCUGGCUAGAGACGAGGGACCCUGGUGUCAUGACGAAGCUGCAUCUGUCCACCCAGGACACUGAAAAUGUGUUCAGCAGAGAAAGCUGACAAAGCAUACAGGAGAGGCUUCCAGAGAUGACAGUUGACCCAUGGGUAGCUGAAAGCAGAGGAUGGAGAGGGCAUAAUGGCGUAUGUUCACCGGGAAGGAAACAGCAUCUCCUUGACAGGUCUUCAGUGGAAGAAGCACUCUGGAAGGACGUGUAAGGUAUGGUGUGAUGCUGUGAGUAACACACACUUGUAAGCCCAGCAUGCAGGAGGCAGAGGCUAGCCAGAGCUAAACAGCAAGGUCCUGCCUCAGAAAACCAAAAUUACCAGACAAAAUACUGUGCUUGCUAAAAGCACCAGCCAUCUCCUCCCCUAGGCCUAUAAGGUGACUAGAGGAAGAAUAAAAGCUGGAUAUUUCUCCAUCUUCAUUUUGCAUCUUCUUCACUUUGGGUUGGAUUUCUGCUCAGUUCUGCAUGUAGGCAUGUUAAGCAUUCGAGGAGCAAAAGCUGUCCAAAAGCUGGUGGUACCUAGCCAAUCUUAACUCUGUACUGGCUAGUUUUCUGUCAACUUGACACAAGCUAGAGUCAACAGAGUGGAGGCAGCUUCAACGGAGACAUGCCUCCAUAAGAUCAGGCCAUGGGCAAACCCGUAUGGCAUUUUCUUAAUUAGUGAGUGAUGGGGAAGGGCCCAGCCUGUUGUAGGUGGUGCCAUCCCUGGGCUGGAGGUCCUGGGUUCUACAAAAAGGCAAGCUGAGCAAGCUAUGAUGAGCAAGCCAGUACCUCUCCACAGCCUCUGCAUCAGCUCCUGCUUCCAGGUUCCUGCCCUGCUUGAGUUCCUGUCCUGACUUUCUUUGAUUAUGAGCUGUGAUGUGGAAGUGUGAGCCAAAUAAACUCUUUCCUUCUCA